AGCGAACGCUGGCGGCAGGCUUAACACAUGCAAGUCGAGCGGGCCCUUCGGGGUCAGCGGCGGACGGGUGAGUAACGCGUGGGAACGUGCCUUCUGGUCUGGAAUAACCCUGGGAAACUAGGGCUAAUACCGGAUACGCCCUUUUGGGGGAAGGUUUACUGCCGGAAGAUCGGCCCGCGUCUGAUUAGCUAGUUGGUGGGGUAACGGCCUACCAAGGCGACGAUCAGUAGCUGGUCUGAGAGGAUGAUCAGCCACACUGGGACUGAGACACGGCCCAGACUCCUACGGGAAGUAGCAGUGGGGAAUAUUGGACAAUGGGCGCAAGCCUGAUCCAGCCAUGCCGCGUGAGUGAUGAAGGCCUUAGGGUUGUAAAGCUCUUUUAUCCGGGACGAUAAUGACGGUACCGGAGGAAUAAGCCCCGGCUAACUUCGUG
rnacentral:rRNA from 1 species